rnacentral:rRNA from 1 species
GAUGAACGCUAGCUACAGGCUUAACACAUGCAAGUCGCGGGGCAGCAUGGGGGUUGCUUGCAACCCCUGAUGGCGACCGGCGCACGGGUGAGUAACGCGUAUCCAACCUGCCCUUCACCACGGGAUAACCCGGCGAAAGUCGGACUAAUACCGUAUGUUGUCCAUUGACGGCAUCCGAUUUGGACGAAAGGCUUGGCGGUGAAGGGAUGGGGAUGCGUCCGAUUAGCUUGACGGCGGGGUAACGGCCCACCGUGGCUACGAUCGGUAGGGGUUCUGAGAGGAAGGUCCCCCACACUGGAACUGAGACACGGUCCAGACUCCUACGGGAGGCAGCAGUGAGGAAUAUUGGUCAAUGGGCGUAAGCCUGAACCAGCCAAGUAGCGUGCAGGAUGACGGCCCUAUGGGUUGUAAACUGCUUUUAUGCGGGGAUAAAGUGGCCCACGUGUGGGCUUUUGCAGGUACCGCAUGAAUAAGGACCGGCUAAUUCCGUG